CUGCGCAUGUGAUGCUCGCGUGUUCGGCGACCGUCUUUUUUUGGAUGUAGCCCGUUUUUUGGGCUCCCGGCGUUCUUUUGUGUUCCGUCUGCGUUUCGGCGCGGUACAGCUGCACUACUGGACUACAACAAGCUGGUGGCAUCCGGUGGAGCUUCGUACGGCAACGACUGCUGCUUACCUGGUGCCACAACCUUGGAUGAAUGCAGAAGAAGCCCGGAACGAGCAUUUAUAUAGAGCAAAAUAAACAUUCCAUCGUUUCAGAA
rnacentral:lncRNA from 1 species